AGUGGCGAACGGGUGAGUAAUGUAUCGGAACGUACCUUUCAGUGGGGGAUAACGUAGCGAAAGUUACGCUAAUACCGCAUAUUCUGUGAGCAGGAAAGCAGGGGAUCGAAAGACCUUGCGCUGAUUGAGCGGCCGAUAUCAGAUUAGCUAGUUGGUGGGGUAAAGGCCUACCAAGGCGACGAUCUGUAGCGGGUCUGAGAGGAUGAUCCGCCACACUGGAACUGAGACACGGUCCAGACUCCUACGGGAGGCAGCAGUGGGGAAUUUUGGACAAUGGGGGCAACCCUGAUCCAGCCAUGCCGCGUGAGUGAAGAAGGCCUUCGGGUUGUAAAGCUCUUUCGGCCGGGAAGAAAUCGCAUAGGCUAAUACCCUGUGUGGAUGACGGUACCGGAAUAAGAAGCACCGGCUAACUACGUGCCAGCAGCCGCGGUAAUACGUAGGGUGCGAGCGUUAAUCGGAAUUACUGGGCGUAAAGCGUGCGCAGGCGGUUUCGUAAGACAGAGGUGAAAUCCCCGGGCUCAACCUGGGAACUGCCUUUGUGACUGCGAGGCUAGAGUACGGCAGAGGGGGGGUGGAAUUCCACGUGUAGCAGUGAAAUGCGUAGAGAUGUGGAGGAACACCGAUGGCGAAGCAGCCCCCUGGGCCGAUACUGACGCUCAUGCACGAAAGCGUGG
rnacentral:rRNA from 1 species